CAUCAGGUCUAUAAAGAAGGGCCCCUGGAUUCAGGACUGCUGCAGUUCACCAGAUCCACCCUUUCCCUGCAAAACACCCCUCUCUCCACCACCAUCGUAAAGCUGUGAGCCUCCAUCACACUCCCCCAUGAUGACUCCAUGAUACAGCCCAGCUCCUCUCUUCUCUGAGAUGCCUUGAACACUGCCUGGGUUGACUGCUCCAGCCAAGGGAGGUGCUCUGCAUUUCUGGAGCCUUGAACAUCAUUGGUCUGAGGAGGUCUCCAUGCCCUUAAAGAGAAGGUGGAUUUUCUGCUGAGCCAUCGGAGAAGCCCAUUUAUACCUCAUUACUGAGCCAGCUGCCUGCGGCUUGCCAGUCAGUCCCGUCUUUCCAUCCGUGCUGUCUGGUUUUCUCCUUGGGACUUAGGUUCAUAACCAACUAAACCAAGAUGUCUGAGUAAG